rnacentral:rRNA from 1 species
UACGUAGGGGGCAAGCGUUGUCCGGAAUCAUUGGGCGUAAAGCGCGUGUAGGCGGUCCGGUAAGUCCGCUGUGAAAGUCGGGGGCUCAACCCUCGGAUGCCGGUGGAUACUGUCGGGCUUGAGUACGGAAGAGGCGAGUGGAAUUCCUGGUGUAGCGGUGAAAUGCGCAGAUAUCAGGAGGAACACCAAUUGCGAAGGCAGCUCGCUGGGACGGUACUGACGCUGAGACGCGAAAGCGUGGGGAGCGAACAGG